rnacentral:rRNA from 1 species
GGUUUAAUUCGAUGCAACGCGAAAACCUUACCCACCUUUGACAUGUACGGAACCUUUAGAGAUAGAGGGGUGCUCGAAAGAGAGCCGUAACACAGGUGCUGCAUGGCUGUCGUCAGCUCGUGUCGUGAGAUGUUGGGUUAAGUCCCGCAACGAGCGCAACCCUUGUCAUUAGUUGCUACAUUCAGUUGGGCACUCUAAUGAGACUGCCGGUGACAAGCCGGAGGAAGGUGGGGAUGACGUCAAGUCCUCAUGGCCCUUAUAGGUGGGGCUACACACGUCAUACAAUGGCUGGUACAAAGGGUUGCCAACCCGCGAGGGGGAGCCAAUCCCAUAAAGCCAGUCGUAGUCCGGAUCGUAGUCUGCAACUCGACUACGUGAAGUCGGAAUCGCUAGUAAUUGUGGAUCAGAAUGUCACGGUGAAUACGUUCCCGGGUCUU